GCGGGGGUGGCAGAGCCUGGUCAAAUGCACAAGGUUGAGGGCCUUGUCCCUUAGUGGGUGCGCGUGUUCGAAUCACGUCCCCCGCA
rnacentral:tRNA from 1 species